rnacentral:lncRNA from 1 species
CCCCAUAGAUUGGUCAUCUCGUGCCCCGAAGACUCGGAUCUAUGGGGCCCAGCUUUGGGGUCCCAUAAUGAUAAAGGGGGGGGGGUUAUGGGGUCCCAUUGGGGUCCCAUUAUGGGUAUGGGGUCCAUUGGGGUCCCAUUAUGGGUAUGGGGUCCAUUGGGUUCCCAUUAUGGGUGUGGGGUCCCAUUAUGGGUGUGGGGUCCCAUUGGGGUCCCAUUAUGGGUAUGGGGUCCAUUGGGGUCCCAUUAUGGGUAUGGGGUCCAUUGGGGUCCCAUUAUGGGUAUGGGGUCCCAUUGGGGUCCCAUUAUAGGUAUGGGGUCCCAUUGGGGUCCCAUUAUAGGUAUGGGGUCCCAUUGGGGUCCCAUUAUGGGUAUGGGGUCCAUUGGGGUCCCAUUAUGGGUAUGGGGGUCCCAUUGGGGUCCCAUUAUAGGUAUGGGGUCCCAUU